rnacentral:lncRNA from 1 species
AUGCCCCUCCUGACCCAACAGAUCCAAGACGAGCAUGAUCAAUACAGUCUUGUGGCCAGCCUUGACAAUGUUAGGAAUCUCUCCACUAUCUUAAAAGCUAUUCAUUUCCGAAAAUGUGCUGUGUGUUUCGCAACUAAAAAUGGAAUCAAAGUAACAAUGGAAAAUGCAAAGUGUGUGCAAGCAAAUGCUUUUAUUCAGGCUGGAAUAUUUCAAGAGCUUAAAGUUCAGGAAGAGUCUGUUACUUUUUGAAUUAAUUUCAUUGUCCUUUUAGACUGUUUAUCUAUUUUUGGAUCAAGUCCUAUGCCAGGGACUUGAACUGCACUUCGGAUGUGUUACCAAGGUUAUGGUUACCCUUUGAUGCUGUUCCUGGAAGAAGAAGGAGUGGUGGCAGUCUGCAAAAUCAAUACACAGGAACCUGAAGGGACCUGGACUUUAAUUUCUACAGCACUAAUGUUAUUGAUAAAAUUCUGCAGUCAGAAGGGCUCUGUGAAGCUUUUUCUGAAUUGGAUAUGACGAGUGAGGUCCUACAAAUUACCAUGUCUCCUGACAAGCCUUAUUUCAGGUUAUCUACUUUUGGAAAUGUAGGAAGUUCCCACCUUGACCGCCCCAAAGAUUCUGAUUUGAUGGAAGCAUUAUAAUCAGACCCAGGUCAACAGAUGCAAGAUUUCCUUACUGAAACCCUCUACAAAGGCAUUAGUCCUGUCUUGUCACGUAUCUACUCGGACAGAUAACCGAGGCUUCCUUUCAUUACAGUAUAUGAUUAGAAAUGAAGAUGGACCAAUAUAUUUUGUGGAAUAUUACUGCUGCCCUGAU